GGGUGCCUGGAAUAGAGGACAGGGAGCGUCAGACAGGAUGUACCUAUUCUAUUCACCUUUCCUACAGAAGAGGACAUUUGAAGACCUUUGUACUUUUUAAAAACAGGUGUUUGGGGGUUACAACAGCGAUUACAACGGAGACAAAGACUGAUGCUCAAUGCAAUACUUACCACCGGCUGGUAAGAUGGAAACUUCUCCCCAAGGUAGAACAUCAGCAGCAUGAAUCCAACGAAACCAAACAGAUGUUUGCACAUGGUGUGCCAGGCCACAGGGCUGGGCGACGUGUCCACUCGAUUCCUGAUGAA